GCAAACGCGGGGGGAGUAGCGCAGGGAAGAUGGUGGGUGCAAGUGGUAAUCGGAAAUACUGGGCGUAAAGCGUGCGCAGGCGGCUUAUUAAGUCAGAUGUGAAAUCCCUAGGCGCAACCUAGGAACUGCAUUUGAAACUAAUAAACUAGAUUAUCGUAGAGGGAGGUAGAAUUCCAGGUGUAGCGGUGAAAUGCGUAGAUAUCUGGAGGAAUACCAGUGGCGAAGGCGACCUCCUGGACGAAAACUGACGCUCAAGCACGAAAGCAUGGGGAGCAAACAGGAUUAGAUACCCUUGUAGUC
rnacentral:rRNA from 1 species